AUACGUAGGUGGCAAGCGUUGUCCGGAAUUAUUGGGCGUAAAGCGCGCGCAGGUGGUUCCUUAAGUCUGAUGUGAAAGCCCCCGGCUCAACCGGGGAGGGUCAUUGGAAACUGGGGAACUUGAGUGCAGAAGAGGAUAGUGGAAUUCCAAGUGUAGCGGUGAAAUGGGUAGAGAUUUGGAGGAACACCAGUGGCGAAGGCGACUGUCUGGUCUGUAACUGACACUGAGGCGCGAAAGCGUGGGGAGCAAACAGGAUUAGAUACCCUGGUAGUCCACGCCGUAAACGAUGAGUGCUAAGUGUUGGGGGGUUUCCGCCCCUCAGUGCUGCAGCUAACGCAUUAAGCACUCCGCCUGGGGAGUACGGUCGCAAGACUGAAACUCAAAGGAAUUGACGGGG
rnacentral:rRNA from 1 species